UGCUUAUCAUGGUUGGCCGUGUUAUAUCUUCAUGUAUACUAAAUAAAAACUAAUUUUGGUGGGGUUGCAGUCGGGUAGUGAACUGUGAAAAAUUGCAACAGACAAAACAAUCAUUGCUUUGGAACUGCCUACAGUGCCCAUAUACAUUUUUUAUAAAAUAUUUUUAAAACUUUCUUGUUUGUUUGUUUAAAAUGUCAUAUGGUAGUCAAACAAGUCGCGUGUAUAACAGUCUAUUCAAAUUCAACCGCGGCCCUGCUGCUGCUGCUGCUUUAAAAAAUACACAGCUCUUUGCAACCGUGUGAGGGGCGCGACAGUUCAGCACUUCUUUACGGCAGCCGUAAGAUGUUUCUGUUGCUUUGAACGCCGAUCCAGAACAGCAAAGUGACGAUAACAGAAAAACUGAAAGCCCCCAAACACUGACAACACGGCCCCGAAGAACAGCAUUUAUACUCGGUUACUUUCCGUACACUGAUAAGCCGUGUCCUGAGCUGCUUUUUGAAACCGGUGGUUGAUAUUUUGGGGUUUUACAUGAGUCGUUAGCCUCUCACUGCAAUGGCCUCCGACAGCAACAUGGACAGAGAAAUGAUCCUGGCCCGACUUUCAGGCAUGUACAGGAAUCGACAACAUUGCUGAAGCAAUCACACUUCUAGAACUCAACAACUGGGACUUGGUGGAGGCAUCAGUAACAGUUCUAGCACUUCUUUGUAACACUGUGAGUCACAAUUUGUACUGGUGUAAUUUUAUAGUUUGCAUGAGGGAAUUAGUUCAGAUCCUGAGAUUAUAUAAUGUGAAACUUUAUAAUAAACCAAGGAAAAUUACAGCUGUACUCGACUGCCAUUGUGCUUCAUAGGAAACACCCAAUCACCAAUAAAAAUGUUUUAUAAUUAAACUUAAGCUUUCGCUGUAAUAAUGUUUUCAGACCCAAUUAUAUAUUUUUGACCAUUAACCAAAUGAAAACAUAUUAUUAAACCUAUUAUUAAGCCUUGCUGAAGCUAUUACAGAAUAUUAAUAAUAUUAUAAGUACUGCAUUGAUUCAGUAAACCAUGUAUUCUUUAGCUUAUAGAAAUCAGUUAAUUUAAACUUUCAGCAUUGGACACUGCAAGGCUAAAUUGCACCUUAUCUCUGGAUUUGGAAGUGCAACGCAGCAACACAGAUUCCUUUGCAUGUGUAGUUCAUCUCAAUAAGUGCUAAAAGACUGUGUUGUAUUGACAAUAAUUGUAUUUUAUUUUUUA
rnacentral:lncRNA from 1 species